rnacentral:misc_RNA from 1 species
GUGCUCCUCCAUGUGUGCACGGUCCAUCGCUCUCGCGUCGCUCGGUCUGCGCGUCCCUGCGUCCGGAUCCUCUCCCUCCAGCUCGGCGCCCAUCCAUGCUGCGUCGCCCUCUCUCUCAUCUCCAAGCCGAGACCCUCGCCGUGAAGCUUCCAUGUGGCCGCGCGUACUCCCUCUGCUUCUCCCUCGUGGCGCUCAACCUUGCCGAGCUUCCUUGCCAUGGCUCUUCCACAGCCCGGCUCUGCCCCAUCGUCGAUCGCCCAUCUCCAUGGUCGCGCGCCCUCCAGUUCUAUGGCCGUGCCGCGCGUCCUGGAGCUCACCGCGCCCGGCCAAGCUCCCCUGUGCACGCCCAGCCACUCCUCUCUCCCUUGCAGCGCGCGUCCCUCUGCUUGCCAAAGCACCAGCUCGGUCGCUCCGUUCGUGCUUCCGCGGAGGCCGCAGCUCUUCCUCUGGUGCGCGCGCCCCAUCUCCCUGGUGCUCGGCCAGCUCACCCAUGGCGCGCCGUGCUCCUCUGCUCUCCCCGCCGGCCCGAGCUCCCUAUGGCGUGCAUCUCCCUGGCAAAAGCUCUCUCUUCCCUCUCCCAUGGCGCGUCUCGAGCUCCACCUCGGGUCGUCGUCUCCGAGCUCGACCCCAAACUGUUGUGCGUCCUAUCCUAUCUCCGAG